GGAUCCCGCUCCCUCGGGGCGUGUGUGUGUGUGUGUGUGUGUGUGUGUGUGUGUGAGUCCCCGACGCACUGAGGCAAGAACACCUUCACUCCGG
ensembl:miRNA